GGUGCUGUGGCUCAGUGGGAGUGUAUCUGCUUUGCAUGCAGAAGGUCCCAGGUUCAAUUCCCGGCAUUUCCA
rnacentral:tRNA from 1 species